UCAAGAAACUUCCACAAUGGGCGAAAGCCUGAUGGAGCGACGUCGCGUGAUGGACGAAGUGCUUCGGCACGUAAACAUCUUUUAUGUGGGAUGAAAUUAUUGACAGUACCACAUGAAUAAGGGGCUCCUAACUCCGUGCCAGCAGCCGCGGUAAUACGGGGGGUGCAAGCGUUAAUCGGAAUUAUUGGGCGUAAAGGGUGCGUAGGUUGUUUGAUAAGAUAUAUGUGAAAUACCUGGGCUCAACCUGGGAAGGUCAUAUAGGACUGUCAGACUCGAGUAUGGGAGAGGGUAGAGGAAUUUCCGGUGUAGCGGUGAAAUGCGUAGAUAUAGGAAGGAACACCAGUGGCGAAGGCGACCACCUGGACUGAUACUGACACUGAGGUGCGAAAGCGUGGGGAGCAAACAGGAUUAGAUACCCCAGUAGUCCCUGAGCGGGCUGGCAAGGCG
rnacentral:rRNA from 1 species